GAAACGACUGCUAAGACUGGAUAGGAAACAAAAAGGCAUCUUUUUGUUUUUAAAAGACCUUCUUACGAAGGUAUGCUUAAAGAGGGGCUUGCGCCACAUUAGUUAGUUGGUAGGGUAAAAGCCUACCAAGACGAUGAUGUGUAGCUGGACUGAGAGGUUGAACAGCCACAUUGGGACUGAGACACGGCCCAAACUCCUACGGGAGGCAGCAGUAGGGAAUUUUCGGCAAUGGAGGAAACUCUGACCGAGCAACGCCGCGUGAACGAUGAAGUAUUUCGGUAUGUAAAGUUCUUUUAUUGAAGAAGAAAAAGUAGUGGAAAAACUAUAUUGACGUUAUUCAAUGAAUAAGCCCCGGCUAACUAUGUGCCAGCAGCCGCGGUAAGACAUAGGGGGCGAGCGUUAUCCGGAAUUAUUGGGCGUAAAGGGUGCGUAGGCUGUUAGAUAAGUCUAUAAUUUAAUUUCAGUGCUUAACGCUGUCUUGUUAUAGAAACUGUCUUGACUAGAGUGAGAUAGAGGCAAGCGGAAUUCCAUGUGUAGCGGUAAAAUGUGUAAAUAUAUGGAGGAACACCAGAAGCGUAGGCGGCUUGCUGGGUCUUUACUGACGCUGAGGCACGAAAGCGUGGGUAGCAAACAGGAUUAGAUACCCUGGUAGUCCACGCCGUAAACGAUGAGUACUAAGUGUCGGGGUAAAACUCGGUACUGAAGUUAACACAUUAAGUACUCCGCCUGAGUAGUACGUACGCAAGUAUGAAACUUAAAGGAAUUGACGGGACUCCGCACAAGCGGUGGAUCAUGUUGUUUAAUUCGAAGAUACACGAAAAAUCUUACCAGGUCUUGACAUACUCUGCAAAGCUAUAGAAAUAUAGUGGAGGUUAUCAGGGAUACAGGUGGUGCAUGGUUGUCGUCAGUUCGUGUCGUGAGAUGUUAGGUUAAGUCCUAAAACGAGCGCAACCCUUGUCGUUAAUUGCCAGCACGUAAUGGUGGGGACUUUAGCGAGACUGCCAAUUAAACAUUGGAGGAAGGUGAGGAUUACGUCAAAUCAUCAUGCCCCUUAUGAUCUGGGCUACAAACGUGAUACAAUGGCUGUGACAAAGAGUAGCUGAAACGCGAGUUUUUAGCCAAUCUCAAAAAAGCAGUCUCAGUUCGGAUUGAAGUCUGUAACUCGACUUCAUGAAGUUGGAAUCGCUAGUAAUCGCGAAUCAGCAUGUCGCGGUGAAUACGUUCACGGGGUUUGUACACACCGCCCGUCA
rnacentral:rRNA from 1 species